CCCAAAUACAAAGUCCCCGAUAAUACUGUAAGCACUUUAACCGAUGUUUCAAUCAUUUCACUUUCAUUUUCUAUCGACAACUUAUUUUUUUUUUGUUUUAUACAGGUCGAUGAUACGCCACCAUCAGCUAGCAGAAGUGGCAGGCCGAUCAAACUCCUUCCAUCGGGCCCGAUCUCUUUGAUCGGCAACAACGCUCCGAGCUUGGCGCCCUUAAUGCACCGGGGUGUGCGUUUCAAGAAAAUCACCACCAGGCGAGCGAAAACAUCCCCGUCGGUAGCUGCCACUGCUUUGGCACAAGCUUUUAAGGUAAAUUCUUGAAUUCUUCAACUCAUACCGAUUCCAUUCUUACAUUUACACAAUUUUUUAGGACACAUCGGCUAGCAUGGGAACUUCAUCAAUAACUUUUACUAUUUCAACCAGAACCUCAUCAAUACUGUACAAAACAUUCACUGCUAUAUCAGCAAACUGGCAAAUCGGCAAAGACCAGAAGAACCAAAACGACUGCCGAUGCCUCCCAGCCCAGCCAAGCAAAGAGAAAGGGCCCCAAGAGUACCAAGUCACAAGCGAAGCGUCAGAGAACAGCAACGCCUCCUCCUCCUCCAAGGUCACCGAUCCCUGUAGAAUCGUCCCCCUCUUCUCUAGAAGCUCAGACACAGCAAGUACCAUCUCCAACUCAGCCACAAGAAGAACCUCAGCUGGAAGAACUUUAGCUAGAAGAACCCCAGCCAGAAGAGAUAUCAACUGAUGUACACGAGCAGACCGCCGAUCCAGUGAGCUCAAUCAUAGCAUCGGUAGUCUCCUCGAUCCAGACAAGCAUUGCACCCCCUCAAGGUAAAGUACUGUCUAUGAAAUUAUUGCCGAUGGCCCUAUUUUUCCACUUUAUAAUUAUCUCUGUUAAUCUUUCAGCUGACAUAGUCUCAUCGGCAACUCCAGCCGAUCCACCUGUAGUACCAUCGGCCUGAACUAGCCAGAGGCGAGAGAUAGCUCUAAAACAAGUAAGCUAUUUGAUUAUCAUUCUUUAUUUUACUAAUAUUUCAUCAUCAAAUAACUCAUUUCCUUUUUUCUUUCAGAAACAAGAUUCUCCCGACAGCCUGUUCUCCUUUUCCAUCGAGAUUUCUGAGGAUGAAGGCGAGGAAGCAAGCUCUUCUCAAGCAGUUGGAAUUUCAUCGGCAGAGAUUAGAGCAAAGCUGGAAGAUCUGUCGGCCCUCCUUCAUCAAGACACAGCCCAACUGGUUGAUGACUCCGAUCCAGCCAAGGUUCUGUUUAAGGCUCUCAGAGGCCUAAUUCCUGCCGAUGCCGAGGAGAUUCUCUUCAAGGCUGCUCACUUGGAGAGUCGACAGCUCCAGUAUCAAAAGGUCACUCAGCGCCUUGCCGAUAGAGCUGCUCACGCCCAGCUCUCAGAGGAGGUGAUGAAAGUAAAGCACCUUGCCGAUGAAAAACAUAAGAGCAUCGGCAUUCUAAAAUCCUCAAGAGAUACGCUGAAGCAAAAGAUCUCCGAUCUAUCGACAAAGAGGGAAGCCCUGCUGGCAGAGCUUAAACAAGUAGAAGAAGCCCUGUCCCAUGCUCAACAGGAAGAAAGUCAGCUGCCUGAGAUGAUCAAGACCCUUGAAAAAUAGCGGAUCGCCUAAGCUCACAAGGCACUGCAGAUGAAGAAGAAGCCGAAACCGGUGGAAGGCUCUGCCGAUGAAGAUAUCAAAGAGAUAGAAGAAGCCGAUCAAAUUCGCCUGCGCGCUAUAUCGGCCAUCCAAGCCUUGCUGAAUGCAUGAAUUCUUCAUCGACGACGUGCUUUGCUUUAAGAAUUCCUGAACUUUUUGGUCUAGCCGAUAGGACUGUUAUCGGCACCCUUUUAAAACAUUGAGUCCGGCCCCAGAUACACUUUAAUCCAGCUGAUAGGAAUGUUAUCGGCACUUAAAGUUUCAUGCAUCAAUCCAUAUGCUAGGAUAAUAUUUCUUUAAGUAUUUGCCAUUCAAUGCCGUGGGAAAUUCAACUCCUUCGAGAGUUUCUAAAAUAUAGGCGUUGCUAGGAGCAGAUCGAUUUAUCCGAUAGGGACCCUCCCAAUUGGGAGACCACUUCCCAAAUUUUGAACUUUUAGUCCCGAUCGGUAAGAUUAGUUUCCACACUAAGUCUCAUUGGCAAACUCCUUAGUCUUUACCUUCUUAUCAUACCAUCUGGCAACUCUCUUUUUAUUUUCUUCUAUACUUAUCAAAGCCUUUAGCCGAUGCUCUGCUAAAACAUCUAACUCGUCUUUCAUCAAAGUAGCAUAAUCAUCGGCAGCCAACUGGUCUUCAAAAGAUAGUCGCCUAGAACCGGUUUUAAUUUCCCAUGGCAGUACGGCAUCGUGUCCAUACACCAACUGAUAGGGUGAAACUUUAGUUGACCCAUGACAUGCCAUCCGGUACGACCAUAAAGCUUCAUUCAACAAUGUAUGCCACCUCCUAAGAUUUUCCUCAAUCUUUCGUUUGAUAACUUUAAUAUUCCUUUGUUAGACGCCUCGGCCUAUCCAUUAGCUUGAGCAUAAUAAGGAGAAGAAUUCAACACUUUAAUCCCCAUACCGAUUGCAAAUUCAUCAAACUCGCCCGAUGUAAACAAAGUACCCUGAUCGGUAAUAAUUGUUUGAGGAAUACCAAAUCGGUAAAUAAUAUGCUCUUUCACAAAAUCAAUCAUAUUGGCCGAUGUAACUUUUUUCAAAGGAAUAGCCUCAACCCACUUGGUGAAAUAAUCAGUGGCAACUAAGAUGAAUUUAUGCCCUUUGCUCGAUGGUGGGUAAAUUUGACCGAUCAGAUCAAUAGCCCAUCCUCGGAACGGCCAAGGUUUAAUAAUGGGAUUCAUGGCCGAUGCGGGCGCCCUUUGAACAUUGCCAAACUUCUGACAUCCUUGACACCCUUUGAAAUAUUUAAAGCAAUCCUCGAGAAUAGUCGGCCAAUAAUACCCAUUUCUCCUGAUCAUCCACUUCAUCUUAAAAGCCGACUGAUGCGCUCCACACACUCCUUCAUGGAUUUCACCCAUCAAAUUCUUAGCUUCAUCAUUACCUAAACAUUUGAGAAGAACCCCAUCGAUUGUCCGAUAAUAGAGCUCAUCCUCGAGGAACACAUACUUGGUAGCCUGAAACCGAACACGCCUCUCAAUCUUCUUGGAUGGAUUCUUUAAAUAAUCAAUAAUUUCUUUUCUCCAAUCAUCGGCAGUAAUUGCCGAUAUUGUAUUCAAUAUGGGCUGAUAUCCCGAGACAUGCUGAGCCAACCGAUUAACCUCCUCAUUAUGCAAUCGAGGGACAUGCUCUAAUCGGAAAUCUUUGAAUUCCCUUAAUAGUUGCAUACUCUUUUCGUAAUAAGUUAUCAGAACUUCAAUUCGGCAUUCAUAACUUCCAGCUAAUUGAUUUAUAACCAACAUAGAAUCUCCGAAGAUCUCAACAGCAUCAGCAUGAACCUCUUUUAGUAACUCCAACCCUUUGAUCAAAGCUUGAUAUUCGGCUUGAUUAUUUGUUGACGUAGCAACAAUCGGCAAAGAGAAUUCAUAUUUUCUUCCCUGAGGGGAAAUUAACACUAUGCCGAUUCCUGCCCCCCGGUCACACGUGGAUCCAUCAAAGAAGAGCGUCCAAGGCACAAUUUCCAAAGUCUCCACUGCACCGCGAUGUUGAGUCACAAAAUCGGCCAUAAUCUAUCCUUUAAUCGCUUUAGCCGAUUCAUAACGCAGAUCGAAUUCCGACAGUGUCCAAAUCCACUUACCGAUCCUGCCACUCAUAAUCGGCAUAGAUAGCAUAUAUCGGACCACAUCAUCUUUGCAUAUAACAGUGCAUUCGGCCGAUAACAAAUAGUGCCUCAACUUAAUGCAUGAGAAAUAUAGGUAUAAACAUAAUUUUUCAAUAGCCGAAUACCUGGUCUCAGCAUCAAUCAAUCUUCUGCUUAAAUAGUAAAUCACACGCUCCUUCCCUUCAAAUUCUUGAAUCAAAGCCGAACCGAUGACCAUUCCAUCGGUAGACAAAUAUAAUUUGAAGGGCUUUCCUUGCUGAGGUGGAAUCAAGACUGGAGGAUUUGUCAAAUAAUUCUUGAUUUCAUCCAGAGCCAACUGUUGCUCUUCUCCCCAUAUAAAUUCUUGAUCGGCUUUUAAUUUAAGUAAAGGACUGAAAGCACGAAUUUUUUCAGAUAAGUUGGAAAUAAAUCGCCUGAUAAAAUUUAUUUUGCCGAUUAGAGAUUGGAGUUCAGUCUUGUUAGUAGGAGCAACUAUCUUGUUAAUAGCAUCGAUAGAUCUUCUGCUAAUUUCAAUUCCUCUUUGAUGUACCAUGAAACCAAGAAAUUGCCCUGCCGAUACACCAAAUGCACACUUAUUAGGAUUCUUUUUUAAACCAUGCUUCCUUGUGCACUCCAACACCUUUCGCAAAUCGGCAAGAUGCUUUGUGAAAUCCCCAGAAUUAACCACCACAUCAUCAAUGUAAAUCUCUACUAGCUUGCCGAUGAACUCAUGAAAGAUAAAAUUCAUAGCCCUUUGAUAAGUAGCACCAGCAUUUUUCAAGCCAAAGGUCAUGACUAUCCAUUCAAACAAUCCAACAUGACCAGGACAUCUAAAUGCAGUCUUUGAAAUAUCUUCAUCAGCCAUGAAUAUCUGAUUAUACCCUGCAUUGCCAUCCAUAAAGCUAAUAACUCGAUGUCCAGCUGCAGCAUCAACCAGCAAAUCGGCAAUUGGCAUUGGGUAACCAUCCAUCGGUGUAGCCUUGUUAAGAUUUCUAAAAUCAAUACAAACUCGAAGCUUCCCAUUUUUCUUGUAAACUAGGGCAACAUUGGAAAUCCACUUGGCAUACCGACACUGCCGAAUAAAUUUAGCUUCGAUAAGUUUAGUGAUUUCAGCCUUAAUAUCAGGAAGAAUAUUAGGAUUACAUCGGCGAGCUGGCUGCUGAUGUGGCUGAAAUCUAGACUUGAUAGGCAACCGAUGUUCAACAAUAGUUCGGUCUAAACCAGGCAUCUCGGUAUAAUCCCAAGCAAAGCAAUCUUUAUAUUCCUUUAACAAAUUAGUUAACUGUUGCUUACACUCAGAAUUUAACUUAGCACUAAUAAAAGUAGGUCUAGGCUUAUCACAAUUACCUAUAUCUACCUCUACUAAAUCAUCAGCCGAUGUAAACCCCUGGCCUAAUUUUCCAUCAUCGGCGAACCUAUCCAUUAAAACUCUUCAUCAGAACUGACUGCUUGGAUCGGUGGAAUUUCAUAAUCGGCAACUUUGAGGAAAUCUUUCUCCCAAAUCUCCCCUGAGAUACACCUGGUCCUUUCAUAAGUGUCUGCUUCUAUCGAUGCGAUGACAUAAGAAGAAUCUCCCGGGACAAUCUCAAUCUUGUCACCUACCCACUGGACUAAGCAUUGGUGCAUUGUUUAUGGGAUGCAACAAUUGGCAUGGAUCCAGUCUCUCCCCAGUAGUAGAUUGUAGGCACCUUUUCCACUGAUCACGAAGAAUGUUGUCGGCAAGGUUUUGCUACCGAUGGUCAACUCAACACAUAUUGCCCCUUUAACCGGAGACACAUUUCCUUCAAAGUCCUUUAGCAUCAUAUCGGUCUUGGUCAAAUCUUGAUCUCCUUUCCGAUAGACUGCAUACGGCAUGAUGUUAAUAGCAGCCCCACCAUCAAUUAAUAUCUUGGUCAUCGGUUGUCCAUCAACUCUUCCUUUGACGAACAGAGCUUUAAGAUGCUGCCUUUCAUUGUCGACAGACUUUUCAAAGACAGUCGUCAUCGGAUCCAGAGCCAACUGAGCUAUCUGGUCGAAAAAGUCCAGUUCCUCAUCAUCGCUGGACGGCGCAAGAAACUCCAUCGGCAACAUGAAUACCAUGUUAACAUCUACGAUAGCCCUUUUCCCUUAGGAUCUGGUUGCUGCUGAUCUCCAGAUUGGCCAGAAUUCUCGCCUUUGCUUAGCUCUUCUCGCCUUUCGCGUUGCAACCUUCUCUUCUGUGUCCUAGUCAAUCCCUCUGGACACCAUGGAGGAAGCUGUGGCUGCCUUGCCGAUAGGCGACGACUUUCCCUUGACUCCACCCGAUAGGUAUUGGCAUCUCUACAAAAUAUGAACUCAUCGGGAACUCGAGCAUUUGCCAUCUCUUCAAGCUCCUCUUGGUUCCUAGGAAAUUACUCAACACAAUCACCAAGCCUAUCAUGCACACUGAGCCUGCCCCCCAGCCGAUCAUGAACUGAAGUCCUACCCCUAAUCGGCCCAUCAAAUCGCCGAUCAUCGUUUUGAUACUGCCGAUUAGGUCUAUCAUACCGAUCAUAACCAUUGCAUUCAGGGCAAUCUCUAACAGUGGGCAAUUUAAUAUUCUGCUCCCAGCAAUGGAUGAAGAACGGGCAGUUCCAGUGAUCCUUAUGCCGGUUUCAUUCUUGUCGGCGUCUUUCUUCUUCCCAACGAUAGUCUUCCUGCUGGCACCGAUACCGAUCCUCACGUUGCUGCCAAGUCUCCCGAUGCCUUCUAUGAGUUAUCACAAUGCCAGAUCGGGGAGGCCUUCCUGAGCUAGUUCCCUCUUGGAUCAAACCCUUUUCUUUGGCAUCGGCAGCAGUAAUUUGAUGCUGAGGUUCCACCGAUACACUUCUUUCAGCUGCUUCCGACGUCAAGACCUUGGUUUUUCCCUUAGCAUCCAACAUAUUUAUUGGGAAAGGAUGUUGAUCGAUCUUCAUCGGCUUCUGAGCUUUAUAAUUAUCAAAUUUGAUCCUCCCAGAUUCUAUAGCCGACUGCAGUUGUUGCCUGAAAACCUUACACUCAUUGGUGCUAUGAGAGGUUGCAUUGUGCCACUUGCAGUAUUUCAUCUUCUUUAAUUCUUCAGCCGAUGGAAUCACAUGAUUGGGUGACAACUUGAUUUGCCCUUCCUAAAGUAGAAAAUCAAAUAUCCUAUCGGCUUUAGUGAUAUCAAAUACAAACUUUUCUGGCUCUUUAUGACCAAAAGGGCAAGACAUCGACUUCUUAUUUUUCACCCAUUCUACCAAGCCGAUGACUGGCUCCUCAUCAGAAUCUGAGCUUGCUGCCUCAUGAACAAAUGACACCUUUUUAUUCCAUGCUCUCUUGGGCUCAAAGGGUUUGAUAUCCUGGUCGGAAAUCCUCUGCACCAGGUGACUUAGGCUCUCGAACUCUUGAGAAGCAUACUUGUCUCUGAUAUGUGGCAACAAACCCUAGAAAGCCAAAUCGGCUAGCUGCUAAUCAUCUAGAACCAGACUAUAGCAUUUAUUCUUGACCUCCCGCAAUCUCUGCACAAAACUUUCAACCGAUUCAUCAUUGCGUUGCUUCAACCUGACUAAAUCGGUAAUUUUCUUCUCAUGAACUCCAGAGAAGAAGUACUUGUGGAACUGCUUCUCUAGAUCGGCCCAAGUGAUCACUGAGUUGGGAGGUAACGAAACAAACCAAUUGAAAGCCGAUCCAGAUAAAGAUGAUGAGAACAGACGAACCCUUAACUCAUAUCUGUUAGCAGCUUCCCCACACUGGAUGAUGAACCUAUUGACAUGCUCCAUAGUCGAUGUAUCAUCCUGUCCAGAAAACUUAGUGAAGUCCGGUACCUUGUACCGAUUUGGAAGUGGAAUCAGGUCAUAUGCGGGAGGAUAUGGUGUCCGAUAAGAGUAAGUAUUGACUUUGGGUUUUAUCCCAAAUUGGUCUCUCAUUACUUCAGCUAUCUUAUCGACCCAAUAAGCAUCGGCGUCUUGCCGAUGACGCGGUUGUGGAUCUGGCACCUGCUGAUAUGCUUCCACGUGUCUCUGGGGUGCACGAUCUGCAUGGAACAUGGGUUUAACCAUUUGACCGCCAACCUGCUGACCAAGAUUUAUUGGCUGGUUGACCAACCCUUGAUUCUGAAACCCAGGUUGGAUUUGUCCCUGUUGAAACCCUGUAGCCUGAUGAUUCUGCUGAUGCAUCUGUGGAAAGACUAACUGUCCUGUCCAUCCACUGUUAGCAUUCAUCGGCAUAAGCCCUGCCGAUGACUGGUAAUUGGGCAUCAUCAUUGAAUUGACGUAUCCUAGCUGUGUCAUAAACCUUUGUUGCAUCGGCACUGAAUCUGCCGAUGCGUUAGGCAUCUGGAACGUUGGAACUUGAGAAUUCCCAGUGUAAGGUCUUGCAGUAGUAGUUGUAGUAAACCGGGGACUCUGAUUCAUCGGCAGAUUUGGAGGUGCCGAUGUCAUAGGGACCUUGUCUGUCAUAUCAGCCACUUGAGACGUUCCAGGAGUCCUCAACAUCAUCUCUUGGGGCAUACCAUAACCCCACCAGUUAGGAGGAACAGAUCCCGACAUUGCCGAUGCCAAUAGAUCCGUGGCAAGCUUGAUUUGCCCAUCUGAUGUUGAUGGAUUGGUCAUCAUGGGUGUAGAUUGCACAUCAGCGACCCCUAAUGUGCUUGGAGGAGAAGUAGCUUCUACACCCGCAGCGGCCGUAGUAGCCGAUGGAGCUGUGACCACUGGUGACCCCGGCUGAUGAUGGGCAGGACCGACAUAAUUUGGUGGUAACUGACCUUCCUUGAAAGUUUUAGCCACCGCAUUGAACACUGUGUUGGACAGCACACCAGCUUGAUUGAUGAAGGCGCGGUUAAUGACACUGUCAACCAUGUCUUGGAGUUUACUAGGAUUGGCUUCAAAAGUAAUCUGCCGAGGUGCCGGCAAUGCUUCCUUUUGGAUCACCUCGCCGCUCCUGUUGAUACUGAAGGGUUUCAAGCAUUGCUGCUUGUAGUCCUCCAUGGCCUUUGCAAUAGCUUGCUUCUGCUCAUCUCUGAGAUUGGCUUCCGUCACAGGGAUGACGUUCUCUAAGUCGAAAUCGGUGUUCGACAUGUUGAUCUUGAUCUUGAAUCUGUCCCACCGGGCGUGCCAAAAGAUGUGUUGAUGCAAAAGCUGAUCUGCAAACACAAAGGGCUAAUACCCGAUUCAAACGUUAUGGCGUGCCAACCGAUUUGACCUUACAAUCGACAAAGGUGGUAACUCGACCACUUUGGUCCCGACAACAGCGAUAUGCCCGGAUGCCACGGCCAAGAGGUGAUCAUGCAGAACUUGAGAACACGCCGAGUUUGACUCGAUGAAUUCCUAAGAACUCAUAGUAAAAAGAAAAUAUGACGAAGUCGUCGACAAAGUAGAUGCUGGAAUAUGAGUAAAAACUUGUGUUUGAUUGAUUGAUAGAUGUCUCAUUACAUUGCCCUAGGGUCUACAUUUAUUCCUUGUCCAAAGAGCUACAACCAGACACGACUACGACUCAAAUUCCAGAUUAAACGGAAACCGUAUACAAAAUGAACUCUAAUAACUAAAGAAAACAUUAAACUACCCCCGUGACCGAUCGGGACACCAUCAUGAAUCAAUCGGCAACCUCCACGCUUUUCUUCAGAGCCAUCGGCAGACCUCCUGUUGUGGCCAUCAGCAAACAUUGAUACUGGUCAUCGGCACGAACACGUCACCACUUCUGGACUUAGUCACAUUCAGUUGUUUCCCCAUCGGCAACUUCCCUGUAGACUAGUUACCGUUGCUUCAUCUGCCGAUCUAUACUUUACCAACCCCAGGUACGCGUCAAAAGAUACGUGUCCAAAAACGGUGUCAACAGCUUGAUUUCUUCUUGUGUUCUAUUUUUUCUCACUUCUCUGAAACAGGUGCCGAGGGGGUCCUUUUGUAGGCCAAGGAGUCUUCUGGAGGAAGGAGCUCAAAGGGGGCUGAAGUGGAGUGGCGGGCGCUAGGGAUCAACGGCGAGCGCCACCCCUGAGUAACUGCCUUAGCUCCCAAAAGUCUAGAUUGGCUCCCACGGUCGGUUUCAAGUAGGACACGUGUCGGAGUAACGUUUUGUCACAUCCAGGAAAACCAUAAUUCAUGUGACAUCAUCUUUUGGCCAUUGGAUCAAACCGAUGUCACUUUAGACACCUCAGAUGGACUCCUAGAGGUGUCACGUGGAUCGGUGACGUGGCUUGCCACACUAGGGGUGGCACCCGCCAGGUGGGCCUGAUGGCCACCACCUUGGCAUGGCACCCGCCACCCUGGCUGGCCUAUGUGGCACUAGGUAUGGUUGGUUGCCUUCUAGGUGGGUCUAAUUCGCUCUUUUUCCUGCUGUUGCCUGCAUACAAUUAAAUUUCUUUGUACAUGUGGAACUGGGUAAGUAAUAAGCAAAAUGUGCACAUGAUGAUGUUGAUUUACCAUGGUUUUGGAUGAAAUGUUGAUGGUCAAAAUGGGUGUUAAGGACCAUCAAUAGUAGGCAAUGAACAUUACAAUUAUGAAUAAGUGAUUAUCCCAAGUCAUAUCAAGUAUUCGACUCAAACACGAACUAGAAUGAAAACAAGAUAGAUUACUAGAACAAGAACAAAAACACGAUGAACUAGACAAUUAACAUGAUGAUCUAGAUGAUGAAUUACACAACUAGAAGAUGAAUUAGACAACUAGAAGAACACAAUGUAGAACUAGAAGACAAAUAGAUAAACUAUGUUGAAUACAAGAGAGAAGUACAAGGCUUGUACCUAGCAUCCUCGUGACUAAAUCUAGAAUCCAAGCAUUGCUUGACUCCUCUAAUUCCUAUUCUAUGCUCUAGCUAUGCCCUAGUUGGUGAAGCUCUUGGGUGCCCUAAGUCGAUGACUGGUGAACUGAUUGAUUUGUUGGUGAUCGCCUCAAGGGGGGGCUACCCCUUAUUUUAUAGUUUGGUGGGGUGCGCCAAAGCCCUCGGAUCAAAACCAACUCGAACAAGGGCCAAGAUGCAUUGCAGAAUUGGAUUAGAGGCCGUCCCGUAGAGGAGGGGGAAUAGCCAGGUGGGCCUAGGAAGACCGACCUACAUGUGGGGCCGACCGGACCGACCUACAUGUGGGGCUUGCUUUGCUCUGGUCGCUUCUUGUGUCUUCUAGAUCCUUCUCGUCGACUUUUGCGUGAUUCUGACUUGAUCUCGUUCUGUCUCCUUGAUCCUUACUCCUCCUCGGAUUCUUCUACUUUAGUCCGUCAAUAUCUAGAAUUACACCAGAGCUACGGAAUUUAUUAGGUUUGUCCCUAUAGCUCUGUUGUGGUGUUGGUUCCGAAGUAUUCCAGAAGAUUCCAAUCAUGUCGAAUGGGGACUCCAUCAUUGGGACUUCGAUUAGGGCAAAUGAUAUAUCCGUUUCGAUCAUCUCGACAAGUUCUUCGCAAUGGUGUGCUCUAUUUCAUCAUUUGAUGUACUUUUAUGUGGAAAGAUAUGCAUAACCUGCAAAACAAGUAGGAGCAACACAACUUGUGGAACUUGUUAGGAUAAAACCCUACAACUAUGCAUUAACAACUCUUUUCUUGUUGUAUGGUGCAUGAAUUGAUGGUAUAGUGUUGACAUUAAGGAGCGUCAACAAACUCCCCUAAGCUUAACCUUUGCUAGUCCCUAGCAAAUAGAGGAUUAAAUUAACAUGAUAGAUCAGGAGUUGCUACAAUGUUUUCAUGCCUUACAAGUACACCAAUGUUCAAAAAUUCUCCUCCGGAUUAGAUUUUUUUAACUUACCCAUAUUACUUGUAACUGUGGGGCUUUUAUCCUUCUCUUGGGUCUUUAGUAGUUGAAAAGUAGAACAAUCAAGUCAAGCACUAUGUCUCAAGCCGUUCGAUCAACCUUUAUUCUGGAGUUUUGUAGAAUUUUCACAAAGAAAUAGAGAUUCCUUUGUAUGACCCUUUCAUGUCUCUCAUUUUUGGUAUUUGUGGAUCCUCACUAAAAAUAAGUAAUUGUAUCUUCUUUCAAGAUAUAGAUAUGUGGAGUUUAUAUGGAAAACAUAGAUAAUUUGCAAAGCAUAUAUUUAUCAAGUCAAAUAUUAGACCCAGAAAGAAAAUCGUACACUCUAAUCAAGAUGUGCAUUUAUUGUGUAAGCAUAUUUAUUAGUGCUCUUCUAAAGGUAUACCUCACUGCAAGGAUAUUAGAAAAUAUGUGGUAUAUGUCUAAUUCUACUAUCGGGCACGUGCCCCUUUUUACCUCUCAGGCGAGUGUCUUUACACCCAUUGUUACCUCUCAGCGUGUGUAGAAGCACCCAUUGUUUUAACUCUCCCAUUUAUGAUAGGACACAUUUCCCUUUUGUAUAGACACAUGCUUCUAACACCUUUUAGAGCAGUCACCUUAAUUGGAGCAUUGAUUCAUUUAAUUAAUUAAUUGCACACUAUUUUGAUCAUAGAGCAUGACAGACUUUAUGGGGGUCAACAUAGCUUGACUUAAUUCAAUGCAGAGCAGAAAUUUAUAAAGGUGUAAAGUAUAUACUUCAGCUCUUGGUAGGGAUCAAACUCCCAACCAUACAAAGAAACUCACUUUUUAUUUUUCAAAAGAUAAAUCUCUAGAACUCUAGUAUCACUAGGAUCAAGAUAAAUAGCAGCCCAAACUUUUUCACAUCAUACCCAUCAACCACCUAGACUUAGAUCUAGACUUUGCAACCCACAAGUCUUAGGUUUAGAGGAAAUAUUUAUCAAAAUAUUGUUUUUCUAAAACUCGAGAGAAUUUAAUGUUGAAAAGUAGGUACUUGAAAGGAAUUAUGAUAGAGCAACUAUUCAUCAUCUCCAUGCAAACAGAUUUAUCUAGAACUCAUUUAAUUCUAGGGCAGGUAAGACCUUGUACAAACUCUCUUUUUAUUUAUUAUCUAAUAUUAAUGACUAAUAGAUAUUAAUGACUAAUGGAUAUAAAAAGACUCUUAUAGAAUAUAAUAUAUAUAUAUACAUAUAUAUAAAUAAUAUGUAUGGGAGAAAUACUUAGCUAGGUAAACGAGGGAUGCCCUCCCCAAGCUGAAUGUUGUCGUCUUUCUUUGACAACGUAGACAUCUUCAAUCUCUCUAGGUCUCCCUCCUAGAGUAGAUGAAGAACUUCUAGCUAUGCCUUUCAAUCUUCUUGUUGAAAUCUGUCUCGAUCAAAUAGACACCAAAACUCGGGGAACAGAUUAAGCAUUAGUGGUAUAACUAUUAUGCCUUAUCCAUUGGAGUCUUUUUUAAAAUUAAGAACUUUUCAACAAGAUCUCGAUAUUUUAAGAUUUUCUAUUUAUAUAUGCAAAUGCAAGAAUUUUUAUUUUAUUUUUAGGCCUCCACAGUAAAUAACCGAGACCUAUUCACAUGGGGGUUAGAGUUUUUUAAAUGCAAUGCAAAAAUUUAAACAUGCUAAACGAAUUGCAGAAAUAAAACUAUGCAAGAAAUGAAAUAUGAGGAUAACUACCGAUGUUACCUUUUGGCAAAGGUUCGGAGAUUUAGGUCUGUCGUAUCGGACCUAGUUCGGUCAGGCACUUGAGGGGGUCUCUAAGGAGAUAGAGUCCUCUAGUUUCUCCCCUUGAAUAUCUAACGAACUGGGAGAUAGCGAUUCUUCUUCUUGUGAUGGAGUGCUCAGUGGUGUUGUCUUUUUCUUUCUCCAUACUUUCUGAGUCUUCGGUUUCUCUUCUCGUGAUUCCUCUUUCCUUUCUUGAUUAGCCUCUUCCUUCUUGAUGAUUUGAGAGCGAUGUCACCUAUUCUUGUUCUUCUUGGGCUUCUCAAGAGUGGUGUAGCUAUUAAAGUAACAUCACACCUUUUCUCCAGGGAAGUGGAAGUGGAUCUCCCCUUGCUUCAUGUAGAUGAUGGCACUUGUGGUGUGAAGGAAUGGUCUUCCUAAGAUGAGGUGGACAUCAUCCUCUCCACUCGUGUCUAGAACCAUCAAAUCAGCGGAGACCUCUAUAUCCCUAAUCUUGACCAAUAUAUCUUUGGCUAUUCCUUCUAGAAAUUGGAACGAUUGGUCCGCCAGCUGCAGCUGCAAAUAUGUUGGGCACAAGGGACUAUCAUGAUAUUAGUGUCUAUAUGUUAUUGUAGACAUGAUAUUGAUGCUUGAGCCGAUGUCGCAAAACGUCUUGUAGAAGGUGCUUCCCUCAAUCAUACAGUCGAUGAUCAUACAGUCGAUGGUAGGUACUGCAGGAUCCUAUAGCUUCUCAAUUUGGGAUGGAGCAAGAGUGUUGGUAUUUCUUACGCACAAUUAAAAUAUGAAGGAUUCUGCAAGCACACAGAAAACCAUUGUAGCAUUUUACUGGGAGUAUUCCAUGUAUCGUUAUUUAUAUUUUACCACUGGGAAACAAUGAAUAAAGAUAUUGAUAGUUCACCAUCAUGUAUCUACUAACUAGUACACCAACUAGACUAAAGUAGGGGUAAAUAAUAGAUGAUAGGAAUUAUGCAUAUAUGACACACAACGGAGAAUUCUAUGAUAAAAGAGUAGAUAGCUAAAGUGAGAGGACAACGAGAGAGUUUAAGGUUCCUAAAUACUUCUCUAUUACUAGGGUUCUAUAAUAACUAAUUCAUGGUAGGUAAAGCAAUCACACAAAAACAUUUCAGAACAUCAGAGCACUUAGCCACAGACAGACGAGAAGAGGGCUAGGACGGUGUGACUACGGUCCUACAACACCAAUCCAAACGUGGUGGAAUACGUCGGCCGUGAGGGCUGUCACCACCUGGGGCUACCACAACUAUCCAUAGAACUGGGCGCAAUCUCAGGUAACCUAUAGUCUAGACACCAUGUCUCUACUACAAAUUACAACUCUAAUCACAAAUAAUAACUAGAGCACCCGAUGCGGGCGGAGAUCCUAUGCUAAAGUAUAACAACCAUACUAACCAGUCAAAUGUAAUGCAUAAAAGUAAAUAGAGAAGAUGAAAUAUAUUAAAACAUAAGUCUUACAAUAAAAGAUACAAAGAUAUACCAGAACUCUGACGACUCAUCCGAAGACUACUCCAGAACUCGGGCGUAGCGUCGCUCUCCCUAAGUCUCAACUAGAACUAAUCUACUACAUUGGAAAGUCUAGCCCUAAUUCUCUAGAGGUGAGAGGUCAUCCAUUUGAGGGAUGCCUCUACAUCUCCAUAAUGUGGUGCCCUCAGAGAGGGGGGUCUGCCUCUUUAUUUAUAGCCCAGAAAAGCCUCUCAUCUCUUCUAGACAGGCGAUGUGGGACUAAUUCUUCCACCAUUUACUCUAUUGGGCUAUUAUACAUCAACUUAGGUCUUCCAAUCAUCCCUCAUGUGAGCCCACUCAAGGGAGCAGCUUGGGGCGCCUCUCUUGGGCCUCUAUCAUACCAUAUGAGCCUCUUCUCACGUCAUGGGCCUUGCUUGGGCGUGGGGCCCAUUAGUGGUAAUUCUUCUUUAUUUGUAAAAUUAAUAUCUUUUCACUCCAGACUCCAAAUAUAGCAAAUGAUAUGUCCGUUUCGAUCAUCUCGACGAGCCCGUCACAAUGGCAUACUCCAAAUAAUCAUUUGACGUACUUUUAUUUGAUGGAAAAUUUCAUAUUUCUACAAAACAAGUCAGAACACCAAAACUCGUGGAACUUGUUAGAAUCAAACCCUACCACUAUGCUUUAUGGUUGAUAUCAUGUUAUAUUGAGCAAUAGUUGAUGGUAUAAAAUAGACAUUAAGGACCGUCAACAAGUUCUCCCAAGCAUACCCUUUGCUAGUCCCUUAGCGAAGCCUAACUAGUAAACUUGGAUCAGGAGUUGCUACAAUGCUUUCACGCCUCACAAGUACACAAGUAUUCAAACAAGGACUCCCCUCUGGAUUAGAGUGAACUAUUCUGACUCAAGACUCACUCAUUUUACCUUUCACCAUGGGGCUUAUAGUUAUCACUUAGGUCUUGGGCAGUUGAAAGAUAGAAGAGUUAAGUCGAGCACUAUGCUACCUGCUCUUUGAUCAACUAUUAUUCUAGAGUUUAGCAAGAUUUUCAAAUAAAACUUAGAGUUUCCUUGUAUGACACUUUCCAGUCUCUCAUAUGUGCUAUUUUUGGAUUAUCUCUAAGGCAAGUGAGUAUGCCUUCUCUCUGCUCUUAGAAUAUGUGGUAUUUGUAUCACUAAGACGUAGUUGCCUUCUCUCUCUCACCCUACUUCUAAUUAGCUUAUGUGGAGCUCAUAGGUGGGAAAGAUAAUUCAAACCUACUUGCAUGUAUUGCAUAGUUAACCAUGGAUCCAGAGAAACUAAUUAUACAAUCAAGUCAUAUGUGCAUGUGAGUGUAGUGAAUGAAGUGAAUGAAAGUGGUAAUGAGGGGUGAUAACUGAAGGUGAAUAUCUUAUUCUACAAUUGCUCCUUGGGGACAACAUACCUUCCUAAUCUGAGAACAAGGAUUUGGUCGUCUUUCUUUUCUUUUGCAUUGGGACUUUUGUCCUCUUUCUUUCUUUUUCUCUUUUUCUCUCUCUCUCUCUCUUAGAUAUCAGCCAUCCCUUUUAAUUCAAUGAUAACAGUAGGGAGUAUCAACUGGGAUAACUGGGGCUUUAUUGGAUAAGUAGAAUAAGACAUUGAAUAUUUUUGGGUGUCUUCUCCUAGUGUAGGAGUAGAACAUUUUCUAAGUGGAUGUGGAAUGUGUGUGGGUGAAUGUUGGAAUGCGUACUCCUAGGGUAGGAGCAGCAUAGGUACGUGUCUCUAGGAUACAAACAACACAGAGUGUAGUGCGUAUAUGUGGGUGGUACUUCUAGGAACAGAAGUAGCACAUAGUGAAUAUGGUGGAUGAAAGUGGUUGCAUACUUCUAAGGACAGAAGUAGCUAAGAUCAAUAGAUGGAGAGCACAUACCAUUGACUUUAACUAUAUGACUAGUUCCAUAGGGUCUACAUAGCUUAACUACUCUCAAUGCUUAUAGGUUGAAAUAUAAGUGGAGGUUUUCCUAAUCUAAUCAGCAUGAGUAUUUGGCUGUGGUAGGAAUUUUAAAUUCUCAUCAUAAAGGAACUCAUCAUAUAGCAAUUUAAGAUUUUCAAAAUAAAAUUCUCUAGAAUUCUUGCAUCUCUAGGAGCAAGAUUGAUAGCAGCUCAAAACCUUCCCAUAUCAUAUCCGUCAACUACAUAGACUUAGAUCAAGCAUUUUCUACCCACAAGUUUUAGGCUCAGAGCAAAUCUUAACUCCAAACAGUUGUGCCUAAAACUCAAGAGAGUACAAGGUUGAAAAACUAGGUACUUGCAAGGAAUUACGAUAGAGCAACUAUUCAUCAUCUCCAUAUCAGAGUUUAUUCUAGAGGUUCAUCUUAACAGAUUCAUCAAGAGCUCUCCUAGCAAGAUUAAUUGUGAAAGAUAAAAUAUUUAUUGGGUUUCUAAGAUUAUUCAUCUUUUUUUCUUGUCAUAACGCACUAGUAAUAAAUAGAUAAGCGAAUAAGGCAUACUUAGCUCGGUGUACGGGGUUGCUCUCUCCCAAGCUGGAUGUUGACAUAGUCUGUUGAGAUUGCUGACGGGCAGUGAAUACGCACUGAUCCUCCUGGAGUAUCAUAGGUACUUGCUGUCAGUCCUUCUGCCUGUUAGUUCUUUUUGAUCCUUUGAAGCCUAUGAAGCUCAAAUAGACAACAAAGCUUGUGGAACUGAUUAAACGUUACUAAUAAGCCUCUAAGCUUUGAGAGUCUAGAACUUUCUUAUACCUAUUUAUCUUUUAGCAGGAUCAAUAUUAUUAUUUUUUAUAUACUUUUCAUAUUUAUAGUAUGCAGACAGGAAAAUAAAUAUGCUAAAACUUAUUUGUGUGCCACCACAGUAGAUAAGUAUGUAAGCUGAUGCAUCACGUAUUAAAUACAUGGGGCUUAGUAGUUUUCUAAAUGCAAUGCAAUAUAUUUUUAUUUUGUUUUCUAAUGCAUAAACAAUAAAGAUGCAACCACUAAUGCUGUUAAGAAAAAUAAAUAUGCUUAAAGAAAAAUGCAAAUAAAUACAAAGUUACCUCCUGGCGUGGCAUUCAGUGAUUUUAUGUCCUCCGAACAGGUUCUCUUACCAUGUUCAUUCUUAGAUGCUUUAUCUGGUCCCAAAGGUGGAGACCAUGAUAGUUGCACCUCUUGAGAUGGUGUCAUCUAUGUUUAUUGCUUUUCCAAUAGAUUGGAGUCAAGUACAAGUUCUGGGAGCUAGCAACAUAUUCGCUCAGUGUGCAUGUUCAUAGGUCUAGGAUCCUCACUUGUAGGAUUCUCGGGGAGUUGACUAAAGUGUGUCAUGCUCAUAGAGACAAGGCAGAGAUCAAGUGCUUGGAGUCGGCAGCUUGACAUGGUAAUGCUUCUACCAACUUGGACACAUAGUCAACUGCCACCAAGAUGAAUUCAGCAUCUCCAGAUCUUUGGAAUGGUCCCAUGUAGUUGAUUCCCCAAACAUCGAACAUGUCUAUUUGGAGGUUGUUUUGGAGUGGCAUUGCAUCCCGAGCAUUAAUGUUUCCAUGUUUCUGACAUCUAGCGCAUCUUCUAACAAAUUCCUUUGUACUUGAUACGUCAUAGGCCAGAAGAAUCCACUUUGCCAGAUCUUUGCAUGUGUACGGAACGCUCCAUAAUGUCCUCCAUAGGGUGAUGCAUGACAUCUCUCUAUGAUUUUCAUCACUUUAACCAUUGGGACACAUCUCCGCAAUAAUCCAUCAGAACAAACUCGAUAGAGAUAUGAGUCAUCCCAUAAGUGGCAUCGAGCUUUAUAUUUGAGCUUUCUCUUAUCUCAUCAUGGUGGAACAUAUAUUGCAACCAUAUAAUUUACAAUAUCUGCGUACCAUGGGUUGGAGUGUGUUACCGCGAGGAGUGUGUCAUCCCUUAGAUAGUCAUUAAUGAGUAACUCAUGUGUUUCCUUGUACUGGUGCCUAACAAGUGAUCGGCUACUAAAUUAUCUACUCAUUUCUUAUCUUUUAUUUCUAAAUCAAAUUCUUAGAGUAAAAGAAUCCAACGGAUCAACCGAGGUUUAGCAUCUUUCUUAGUGAACAAGUAAGGUUAGCAGGGGGCGUGGGGCUCCGUGCAGGGCCUUUAUAGGCCGCGACCAUCCUCGGGAGGCACGCGGGCGCUCUGAUCGAGCGGUGGCGAUGGCUUCCGCAUGGCACGGUGCGACGGGGAAGAAGCACUGGUGCAGGACGGGGCAUUAGCACCGGUCGGGAAGGGCCUGUUGCCCCGGUUCCCGAGCCGGUGCUGCCCUUCCGGGAGUAAAGGCCCACCCUCCGGUUGGUAAUACCAACCGGUGUUAAAGGGUCCUGCCAGGGCUGCCACGUUGCAGGACCCUUUAACACUGGUUGGUAUUACCAACCGGUGUUAAAGGGUUUUUUUUUGUUUCACUUAUUCGGUUCUGUUUAUUGUUUUAUAUAAUAAUAAUAGGUUUUUUAAUACAGGUUUUUUCUGAUACAAUAAUAUAUUUAUAUUACAUGCAUAUUAAGCAUAUAUAAAUGAAAAUUAUAGGCUUAGCUUAAUAAUUAAGCUUUGCCUAUAAUAAAAUGAAUAGGCCACAUCAAAAAUUAAAUAGAUAUGUAAAAAGCUUUAUAUAUAUAUAGUUUUAUAUGUACAAAAUUCGUAACACAUAUAUACAUAGAGUUUUUUCUCCCAAUGUCUACAAACGAUACAAAUGAUCAUCGUUGUUUGGAAUAAGAGUUUCGUUGCCGUUGAAGUGAAACUCGCUGUUUGGAUUGAUCACUUGCUCGCGGAGAAAUCCUGCUAUCGUCUCUUGGAUAGCUUUGAUUCGGUCUUUUUGUAUGACCUUUUCCCUCAACCAUUCCGUCUUUAAUUUGAAAUAAAUAAAAAGGUAUUAGUUAUAAUUCAGGAGAUAAUGAAAAGAGACAUGUAACGUACUCUGAGCUUCUCUGUGGGUGUUUGAUUGACUUGUGCCAUCAUGAAUUUGCACACGUAAUAUGCACAUAGAUUGUUCCCCCCUUCUUGUCUUAAACACCACUGUACGAUAUAUAUAUAUAUAUAAAAUAUUCACGACCACGAUAAUAAGAAGGCUAAAAGUUAGCGAAAGUUUGCUAGCUAGUAGAACUUACUUGUGGAUGUAUUAUGUUAAGCGACGCUUUACAUCCACUGAGAUGUUCACGGUUAAUGAAUCUUUCCCAAACCCUACACACAGCCAUUGUGGAUCGUGAACUAAUAAUUACAGAGUCAUAUUAUGAUAGAUCGACAUUACGUACCUUUGAAUAAUGUUUACCAUUUGUUGAUAAUUUUCUUGUGGUUUUCUCAUUGAGUCAAAGAUUAUCAACCGGUUCUUGGGAAUUUCAAUGACUAUGAGUAUCCAGUGAAAACUGUUUACACACAUAUAUAUAGUCAGGCCUAUAUAUAACUAUAUAAAACUUGUCUCGAGUAAUAAUUAUUAAAAUAAAAUAUGCAUGCACUUAAUAACUAUAUAACUCACUCGAAGUUGAAGGGAAGAGUAUUUUUUAUUUUUCUUUUUGGUUCACAAAGAACCUCAUAAGAUUGGUGGUGACUUCUGUCUCAUGAGCUGUUGUCCACACUGCCUGCGGAGCCUUGAAAACAAUAUAAGGGUCAACGAACCCAAUACUAUUGUCAUUUCUCAUUCUGAGCUCUCUCAUUUGGUGCCUGCAUAUAUACAUACAAAUCCUAAUUGUGUAAGGAUUAUAUACAUGUAAUUAAAGAAGUUAGAAGUAUAAUAAAAAGAAAAAAAUACUUGCAGACAAAAGCAGCUAACAAGAGAUUUGUCGAGAGCAUCGAGGUGACAUAAUACUAGAAUCUUUUAAGCCUAGUAAUACACUAGAAUAAUAUACUAAAAGAAUAAUACUAGAAUAAUAGUACAAACAAUAAUAUAUACAAAACUCUAGAAAAUAAAAUAUAUAUUAGAGACUUAUAUACUACUAGUACUACUACAAAUGAUAGUGCUAGCGUGCUCCAAAAAUAAUACUAGAAUCUUUUAAGCCAAGUAAUACAAUAGAAUAAUAUACUAAAACAAUAAUACUAGAAUAAUAGUACAAACAAUAAUAUAUACACAACACUAGAAAAUAAAAUAUGAUACAAAAAUAAUACAAGAAUAAUAUACUACAAAUAUAUACUAAAAAAUACUACUACAAAUAAUAUACUAAAAAAAUAAUACUACAAAAUAAUACAAGAAUAAUAUUAAUAUAUUACAAAUAUAUACUAGCAUAAUAUAAUUUAUAACAGGUCAACACUACACUUAUACUAAUAUACUAAAAACUAUUACAAGAAUAAUACACUAACAUCAUGUAUUAUUUUUUAGUGUAUAUAUAUAUACUUAAUUGGGUCAAGGUCUAGAAUAAAGUCAACACAGAACUCUAUGACCUCCUCUAUUUCGUAGCCCUUAGCAAUGCUUCCUUCUGGCCGGGAACGACUAUGGACAUAUUUCUUUAGGACAUCCAUAAAUCUCUCGAAGGGGAACAUGUUUUGUAGGAACACAGGACCGAGAAUACGAAUCUCUUUGAUCAGAUGAACUAGGAGGUGUGUCAUGAUAUCGAAGAAGGAUGGAUAGAACACCAACUCAAAGCUGACGAGACAUUGAACGACAUCAUUCUGUAGAGUAGCUAGUUGCUCUGGAUUGAUUGCCUUCUGAGAAAUUGCAUUGAGGAAUGCACAUAGCUUUACGGUGGCUAGACGUACGUGUGGAGGUAAAAUUCCUCUUAAACCCACCGGCAGCAAUUGCGUCAUUAGAACGUGACAGUCAUGGGACUUCAAGUUUAGGAAUUUCUUCUCUUGCACAUUAAUUAUUCCCUUGAUAUUGGAGGAGAAUCCAGAUGGGACCUUGAUGCUGCUAAGACAUUCAAACAUGCUUUCCUUCUCUUCUUUGCUCAGAGUGUAGCUAGCAGGGCUUAAGUAAUGACGUCCAUCAUCUGUCUUUUCUAGAUGCAGGUUGUCUCGUUCUUUUAUGCGCUGCAAGUCUUGUCAUGCUUCAAGUGAAUCCUUAGACUUUCCGUAGAAACCCAUGAAUUCGAGCAAGUUCACACAAAGAUUCUUUGUCAGAUGCAUCACGUCGAUCACGUUGCGGACCUCUAGGACAUUCCAGUAAGGUAGCUCCCAAAAUAUGGAUUUCUUCUUCCACAUGGGUACGUGUCCCUUAGCAUCCUUGGGAAUAGGUUCGCUGCCUCGUCCCUUUCCAAAUACCAAUUUAUAUCCUUGACCAUUUCGAGUACACCAUCCCCGGUUCGAUUGAGAGGUUUGGUCCGGUGGUCUGCCUUGCCUUUAAAAUGCUUGCCUUUCUUUCGUACUGGGUGGUUCACAGGAAGAAAGCGACGGUGGCCAAGGUACAUGACCUUUCGACAUUUUUUCAAAAAUACACAGUCAAGGUCUUCAUAACAAUGUGUGCAUGCAUUAUAUCCCUUGUUUGACUGGCCUGAAAGAUUACUCAGAGCUGGCCAAUCAUUGAUUGUUACAAACAGCAAUGCUCGUAGGUCAAAGUGCUCUUGUUUGUACUCAUCCCACACGUGAACUCCUGGUUUGCUCCAUAAAAGUUAAAGUUCCUCAACUAAUGGCCUUAGGUAGACAUAUAUGUCAUUGCCAGGUUGCUUCGGUCCUUGGGUAAGCACCGGCAUCAUAAUAAACUUCCGCUUCAUGCAUAGCCAUGGAGGAAGGUUGUAGAUACAUAGAGUAACUGGCCAAGUGCUGUGACUACAGCUCUGCUCAUCAAAAGGAUUCAUACCAUCUGUACUUAAGGCGAACCGCAAGUUUCUAGCAUCAUCUGCAAAAUCUGGGAAUUCUCUGUCUAUCGCUCUCCACUGGGAUCCAUCGGCAGGGUGUCUCAGCAUAUUGUCUAUCUUACGGUCUUCUUUAUGCCACCGCAACAACUUUGCAUUGUCCUUAUUUAUGAACAGACGUUUUAAUCGUGGUAUUAUAGGAGCAUACCACAUAACCUUAGCAGGAAUUUUCUUCCUAUGACGUUCUUCACCCUCAACAUCGCCAGGAUCAUCUCGUCUAAUCUUAUACCGUGAUGCCUUACAUACUGGACAUGCAUCCAAAUUCUCGUAUUCCUCCCCACGGUAGAGGAUGCAGUCAUUAGGACAUGCGUGUAUCUUCUGGAUUUCUAAUCCCAAAGGGCAGACAACCUGUUUUGCUUCAUACGUAGUGGUGGGCAAUUCGUUGCCUUUCGGAAGCAUCUUUUUUAUGAUCUUCAAUAACUGCCCAAAUGCCUUGUCAGAUGUACCAUUCUUUGCCUUCCAUUGCAGCAAUUCCAGUGUGGUACCCAGCUUUUGUUGCCCCUCUUCAGCGGUGGGAUAUAGCGAUUUCCUGUGGUCCUCUAGCAUGCGCUCGAACUUGGCUUUCUCUUUAUCACUUUCACAUUCUCUUUGUGCAUCACGGAUGGCAUCACCAAAAGCAUCAUCGCCCCGAUCAUCUUCUGCCGCUACCUCUUCUUCAUUAUCUCUCCCCAUUGCAACAUCAUUGAAGCCACCGUACUGAGCAAUAAUAUUGGCAUGGUCCAAUUCUUCUUCUUCUUCUUCACCUCCAUCCAUUAUAAUCCCGCUUUCUCCAUGUUUGUCCAACAAAUAUAGUUUGGUAAGAAACCAGACUUUAAUAAGUGCGAAUGAAGAGUUCUUGAGUUAGAAUAUUCCGUCAAAUUCUUGCACAUGACACAUGGAUAGCACAUGAAACCAUCCCUCUUAUUUGUCUAGGCCACACUUAAGAAAUAGUGCACGCCAUUAAUGAACUCUUCGGAGCGCCGAUCGGUAUUAUACAUCCAAUUACGUGUUACCAUCUGCAUUAAAUAUAAUAUAUAUAUUAUGAAAACCAUGCACACAUAUAGUUUCUCAUCUUAUUGCACAAUAUGUCUAAGAUACAUAGUUGAUUAAUUCAGGAAAGCUUGGCUACAACAAAUACAAUCGCAACUAGCACUAAAAAAACCAAAACUAAAAUGCACUUAAGCAACAUAAUUAGUUCGCGUCCGAUCCCAACUAUAAUAGAUAGAUCAUUCGCUUGAUCAACAUCAUUGAACUCCUUUCGUCGGCUCACUGCCUCACCACCUUUAGCCUCAACCACUUGUGCAAAAGAUUUCUUAAUGUGUUCAAUGUAUUCUUCCUCCUAGUACCAACCUGUACAUCGCCGGUACCGUCCCACUAAAAUUAAAAUAGAGAAUCAAAAGUUUAAUUAAUAUCAUUUAAAAAAAUAUGCACAUAUAUAAGCAAAUGUCUGGAAAUAACUCACAUUACGAUCCGGACACUUGUAGAAUAUACGACCCUUGUUUACUCCCUCUUUCGACACUUUGUACUCCAUCACAAUAUUCUGCCUACACUUGCCACAAGUAAUGAGAGGGAGUUCCGGCCAGUAUCGCUUUUGAACCCAUUGAGAGACCGAAGACCCGAUCACGGUUGCCAUCUACUAUCCAUACUCAAUUUUUAAACAAUUAUAAAUUCCACAUUUACUAGUAAACAUGUAUGAUUAAAGAAGAACCUAAUAAUAUCCUUUAUUUGUCUAGUUACUUCAACAAAUCUUCCAAAUUAUACAAUGGACAUUAUGUAGUAAUAAAAAUAAAUCAAGUGAUAUUAACAAACCAAUUAAUUUGAAAUCCUACUUUCUAAGAUCAUAAAAAGAUACUAUAAUUCAUUCUUGCAAACUACAUUAAUACUAGGUCAACCAUGAAAUAUGAUAUAUAUAUAUAUGGAUACUAAUUCAUGUGAAUGAUUCAAAAUAACAAAGUGGAUUUGAGCUAAAAAUAAUGGGAACAUCACAAGCCAAAAACAACAUGAAAAAGACAAGAAAGACAAAAGUUAGUCACCUCCAAACACGAAGAACGAUAACGGAGUCGAAGAAGAUCAACGAUGGGCGUCGGAGAUGAAGAACAAAUGAAGAACAAGUAAGAAGAAGCUCCAAGAACAACAAUGUUGAAUGGUGCUCUCGGUUUCAAAUGGGCAGAGAGGAGGAGGGAUCCGGCCUAUAAACCGGACCUUUAGCACCGGUUCAGGACAAAAACCGGUGCUAAAGGUUGACCCUUUAGCACCGGUGCUAAAGUGUUACAAACCGGUGGUAAAGGCUUUGCCUCGGCCCGUGGCGCUGGCCGGUGCUAAAGGGGUCUUUAACCCCGAGCCGCAAAAAGGCCGAGGUUUUUGGCCAUUUUGGGCAUCGUUUUUGACCAUUUUAGGCAUCGACCAAUGCCUCAUUUUGUAGUAGUGAAGGGCCGCUGUUGCUGACAGGCAGAGCCCACCUGGCGGUCGCAAGGGCGUGGGGUGGGCUGGCGCGGCUGCUGCUGGGCCAUGGCACAGCUGGGCCAAGGCUCAAGUGGAGGGGCGCUCGCGGUCUAAAGCGGAGGUAGGCCAGGGCUAGGCUUCAAGCUAGCGUGGGCCUAAAGAGAGGGAGGGGGAAAAAGAAAAAAAAGGUUUUUUUUUAUUCAAAAGGGUUUAAACCAAUUUUUUUCAGCAUAUUUAUAAACCAAAAUUUAAUUUAUUAAUUUGAGAUUAUUUUAGGAAUUGUUUUCUUUACUAUUUUUUAGAGAAAACAUAUUUCUAAAUUGUUUUUUAACUCAAAUUAGAAUUAGUUUUCAAAUAGGACUUUUAGUGUUUUAUUUUUCUAAAAACCAAAAAGGUCCUACUGAACUUGCUCAAAUUUUAGAAGUUCAUUUUUCUCGCACAAAAACAAAGCUAAGGGUGAGUAGGGGCAGGCUGGCUAGGGAGCAGCAAUGGUCACCAAUCGAUGGCGCCGUGACAAAGGUGUUGAAAGUGAAGAGUGAGCAAACUCGUGUUAUGGACCUUUUUUAUUUCUUUUAGGAACUAAACAUUACAAAUUAGCUCCCUACUUUUUUUACCACUUUCCUGUUUUGAUCCAUUAACACUAAAAUUAGCGGCUAAAAUUAGUACUAGUGCAUCCAAACAAACCGAACCAUAAGUUUCAUUAGCUGAUUUAGAGUUGCUAAUAGAUGCUUAAAGUUUAUAUACACAUUUGACUCACUAUCCAACCAUCUAUUAGUAGGUGCAUCCGAAUGACCUCCUACUAAAAACUAAGUAGCUAAAAAAAUAAUAACUACUCCCUCCAUCUCAAAUUAUAAGACGUUUGACUUUUUUGACUUUAAGUUUGACCGCUUGUCUUAUUCAAAAAAUUUAUGCAAACAUAGUCAAAUUUAAAUCAUUCUUGAAAAACUUUUAUUAAUAAACAAAGUCGUGACAAUGAAGUGAUAUUUUGCACAAAUUUUUUAAUAAAACAAGUAGUGAAACUUGAUGUCAAAAAAAUCAAACGUCUUAUAAUUUUGGGAUGGAUUAAGUAUUAUCUACUAUCUAUAUAAUUUUUAGUGCUAAUAGAUCAAAGAGACCCUCUUAACUCUUUUAGUUUCUGAAGAUGCUCUAAAUCAGUACACUGAAACUAUAAUGUACCUGUCUUAUUUUAUUUUAUUUAACUGAAAUUAUCUCUAGUUUAUAUGAACUAAUGACAGCUCCUAUGCUCAAGAAAUAAACGAGUUAAUUCAUGUCCUACCCAGCUGGCUGGAAAUAUGCUUUCCGGAACAAAAAUCUGCUAAAACCAAGGGAAUAGCAGCAAAUGACAUAGCGCAUGCAGUUCGUUACCAUUUGCGUUAUCACAGGUUGAACCAAAACACUAUCAUGUGACAACCAAAACACUAUCAGUUCGUUGACAGAGAAGGGAAAAAAAUGACUCUUAUUCAUCACCUCGGUGAGACAAGCAAGGCAUUCUUAUUGCAGGUGGCCGCUGACAGGUUUCUCAGCUCCUCGGUGAGAUAAGCAAGGUAUUCUUAUUGCAGGUGGCCGCUGACAGGUUUCUCAGAGCUACUCUCAUACAGUGACGCAACAGCAGUUUCUUCCUCGCAGCUUCUCCCGAGAAAAGCCAUAUUGCAGCGACAUCUCGCACGGUCACUGGUACUGGCUGGCAAGCUGGCCUUCCUUGACGAUAUAGUUGUGCACCGGGAAGUCCUCUCCCUUGAAAUACCUAUCCAGCAUGUCCCUCGCACC
rnacentral:lncRNA from 1 species